GAGUGAUGAAGGCCUUAGGGUUGUAAAGCUCUUUCACCGGUGAAGAUAAUGACGGUAACCGGAGAAGAAGCCCCGGCUAACUUCGUG
rnacentral:rRNA from 1 species